rnacentral:rRNA from 1 species
AGAGUUUGAUCCUGGCUCAGAUUGAACGCUGGCGGCAGGCUUAACACAUGCAAGUCGAGCGGGGAAAUGUAGCUUGCUACAUUACCUAGCGGCGGACGGGUGAGUAAUGCUUAGGAAUCUGCCUAUUAGUGGGGGACAACAUUUCGAAAGGAAUGCUAAUACCGCAUACGCCCUACGGGGGAAAGCAGGGGAUCUUCGGACCUUGCGCUAAUAGAUGAGCCUAAGUCGGAUUAGCUAGUUGGUGGGGUAAAGGCCUACCAAGGCGACGAUCUGUAGCGGGUCUGAGAGGAUGAUCCGCCACACUGGGACUGAGACACGGCCCAGACUCCUACGGGAGGCAGCAGUGGGGAAUAUUGGACAAUGGGGGGAACCCUGAUCCAGCCAUGCCGCGUGUGUGAAGAAGGCCUUUUGGUUGUAAAGCACUUUAAGCGAGGAGGAGGCUACCUAGAUUAAUACUCUGGGAUAGUGGACGUUACUCGCAGAAUAAGCACCGGCUAACUCUGUGCCAGCAGCCGCGGUAAUACAGAGGGUGCAAGCGUUAAUCGGAUUUACUGGGCGUAAAGCGUGCGUAGGUGGCCAAUUAAGUCAAAUGUGAAAUCCCCGAGCUUAACUUGGGAAUUGCAUUCGAUACUGGUUGGCUAGAGUAUGGGAGAGGAUGGUAGAAUUCCAGGUGUAGCGGUGAAAUGCGUAGAGAUCUGGAGGAAUACCGAUGGCGAAGGCAGCCAUCUGGCCUAAUACUGACACUGAGGUACGAAAGCAUGGGGAGCAAACAGGAUUAGAUACCCUGGUAGUCCAUGCCGUAAACGAUGUCUACUAGCCGUUGGGGUCUUUGAGACUUUAGUGGCGCAGCUAACGCGAUAAGUAGACCGCCUGGGGAGUACGGUCGCAAGACUAAAACUCAAAUGAAUUGACGGGGGCCCGCACAAGCGGUGGAACAUGUGGUUUAAUUCGAUGCAACGCGAAGAACCUUACCUGGUCUUGACAUAGUAAGAACUUUCCAGAGAUGGAUUGGUGCCUUCGGGAACUUACAUACAGGUGCUGCAUGGCUGUCGUCAGCUCGUGUCGGGAGAUGUUGGGUUAAGUCCCGCAACGAGCGCACCCUUUUCCUUAUUUGCCACCGGGUUAAGCCGGGAACUUUAAGGAACUGCCAGUGACAACUGGAAGAAGGGGGGACAAACUCAAGUCUCAUGGCCCU